GUUAUGGUAUUUCAAUGUCUGUCUUUUCAGUUGGUACCAGUCUUGGCAUUUAUUGAAUUUUUUUAUAACGGAAGUUUUUAUGCCAAUAGAAAACAUUAUCCGCAUCUAAUUGUUAUGCAAAUGGGUUCAUUGAUGUAUCUUGUGGCCUCAGCAGGAUAUUCAGACAUUCGGAAUUUGUCUGCAAUAAUUGAAAUUCAUACUUGGUCAUGGAAAUUGGCCGGUGAUAAAAUCUAUAGAAAACUUCUAUCGGAAGGAAAACAUUUGAAAGUUGUGUGUUGCGCAAUUUUUUGCUCUACUACAUCAUCGGCAGUACUAUUGGCCCCAGCUCUCGGAGAUGAAAAACACUGGCAGUUUCUACCGUUUUUGUGGAAUAAAUAUUUAGGAGACCAAAUGCAUAUGAUACUUUCGAUUUUUUACACAAUGGAAGCGGCCUUUUUAGGACUAUUCCUUUCAUCACUUGUCUGUUACAGCUUGUAUUUCGUUGGACAUUUGGAGCUUCAGUUUCAACUUUUGAAUGCAUUUGUCUGUAGGUUACACACUAGAUCGAUAUAUCAUAUGAAUGAUAUCAGAUACCAGGAACGGGUGGCUGAUCUACUUAUGUGCUGCGUCAAAAUGCAUACAGAGAUCAAAAAAUUCCAAACGAAGCUGAUGAGCAGAGCUAGUACUUUAGUUUUAUCAUUCACGGCCUACGGCUUGACUAUA